AAUAGAUACCCGGGUAGUCCACGCCGUAAACGAUGAGUGCUAAGUGUUAGAGGGUUUCCGCCCUUUAGUGCUGCAGCUAACGCAUUAAGCACUCCGCCUGGGGAGUACGGUCGCAAGACUGAAACUCAAAGGAAUUGACGGGGGCCCGCACAAGCGGUGGAGCAUGUGGUUUAAUUCGAAGCAACGCGAAGAACCUUACCAGGUCUUGACAUCCUCUGACAACUCUAGAGAUAGAGCGUUCCCCUUCGGGGGACAGAGUGACAGGUGGUGCAUGGUUGUCGUCAGCUCGUGUCGUGAGAUGUUGGGUUAAGUCCCGCAACGAGCGCAACCCUUGAUCUUAGUUGCCAGCAUUUAGUUGGGCACUCUAAGGUGACUGCCGGUGACAAACCGGAGGAAGGUGGGGAUGACGUCAAAUCAUCAUGCCCCUUAUGACCUGGGCUACACACGUGCUACAAUGGAUGGUACAAAGGGCUGCAAGACCGCGAGGUCAAGCCAAUCCCAUAAAACCAUUCUCAGUUCGGA
rnacentral:rRNA from 1 species